rnacentral:rRNA from 1 species
GAUGAACGCUAGCGGGAGGCUUAACACAUGCAAGUCGUGGGGCAGCAUUAGGUAGCAAUACUUAGAUGGCGACCGGCGCACGGGUGAGUAACGCGUAUGCAACCUACCCUGUACAGGGGGAUAGCCCGGAGAAAUUCGGAUUAAUACCCCAUAAAGAUAUUGAGAGGCAUCUUUUAAUAUUUAAAGUUUCGGCGGUACGGGAUGGGCAUGCGUAAGAUUAGCUAGUUGGCAGGGUAACGGCCUACCAAGGCAACGAUCUUUAGGGGUCCUGAGAGGGUGAUCCCCCACACUGGUACUGAGACACGGACCAGACUCCUACGGGUGGCAG